AUUGAACGCUGGCGGCAGGCUUAACACAUGCAAGUCGAGCGGAGUGAUGGUGCUUGCACUAUCACUUAGCGGCGGACGGGUGAGUAAUGCUUAGGAAUCUGCCUAUUAGUGGGGGACAACAUCUCGAAAGGGAUGCUAAUACCGCAUACGUCCUACGGGAGAAAGCAGGGGAUCACUUGUGACCUUGCGCUAAUAGAUGAGCCUAAGUCGGAUUAGCUAGUUGGUGGGGUAAAGGCCUACCAAGGCGACGAUCUGUAGCGGGUCUGAGAGGAUGAUCCGCCACACUGGGACUGAGACACGGCCCAGACGCCUACGAGAGGCAGCAGUGGGGAAUAUUGGACAAUGGGGGGAACCCUGAUCUAGCCAUGCCGCGUGUGUGAAGAAGGCCUUAUGGUUGUAAAGCACUUUAAGCGAGGAGGAGGCUCUUUUGGUUAAUACCCAAGAUGAGUGGACGUUACUCGCAGAAUAAGCACCGGCUAACUCUGUGCCAGCCGCCGCCGUAA
rnacentral:rRNA from 1 species